UAGAGUUUGAUCCUGGCUCAGGAUGAACGCUGGCGGCGUGCCUAAUACAUGCAAGUCGAGCGAACGGAUAAGGAGCUUGCUCCUUUGAAGUUAGCGGCGGACGGGUGAGUAACACGUGGGUAACCUACCUAUAAGACUGGAAUAACUUCGGGAAACCGGAGCUAAUGCCGGAUAACAUUUGGAACCGCAUGGUUCUAAAGUAAAAGAUGGUUUUGCUAUCACUUAUAGAUGGACCCGCGCCGUAUUAGCUAGUUGGUAAGGUAACGGCUUACCAAGGCAACGAUACGUAGCCGACCUGAGAGGGUGAUCGGCCACACUGGAACUGAGACACGGUCCAGACUCCUACGGGAGGCAGCAGUAGGGAAUCUUCCGCAAUGGACGAAAGUCUGACGGAGCAACGCCGCGUGAGUGAUGAAGGUUUUCGGAUCGUAAAACUCUGUUAUUAGGGAAGAACAAAUGCGUAAGUAACUGUGCGCAUCUUGACGGUACCUAAUCAGAAAGCCACGGC
rnacentral:rRNA from 1 species